rnacentral:rRNA from 1 species
AMGURGCUYGCKACUYARCUUAGCGGCGGACGGGUGAGURAUACUUAKGARUCUGCCUAUUAGUGGGGGACRACAUUUCGAARGGAAUGCUAAUACCGCAUACGUCCUACGGGAGAAAGCAGGGGAUCACUUGUGACCUUGCGCUAAUAGAUGAGCCUAAGUCGGAUUAGCUAGUUGGUGGGGUAAAGGCCUACCAAGGCGACRAUCUGUAGCGGGUCUGAGAGGAUGAUCCGCCACACUGGGACUGAGACACGGCCCAG